UACAGUUUCAGGGACAAGCAGUAUAAUUAAUCUUACAGUUUCAGGGACAUGAAGCAGUAAUUAAUUUUUUACAGUUGCAGUGAUAUGAAGCAGUAAUUAAUCUUACAGUUGUAGGGACGUGAAGCAGUAAUUAAUCUUACAGUUGUAGGGACGUGAAGCAGUAAUUAAUCUUACAGUUGUAGGGACAUGAAGCAGUAAUUAAUCUUACAGUUGUAGGGACGUGAAGCAGUAAUUAAUCUUACAGUUGUAGGGUCAAGCAGUAAUUAAUCUUACAGAAGCAGAAGCCCAUCUUAUAGAAGCAUGGACAAGCUGUAGCCAACCCUACAGAUGCAGGACAAGCAGUAUUACCUUUUCAGAAGCAGUAGCCAAUCUUACAGAAGCAGGGACAAGCAGCACCCAUUUUUACUGUUGCAGGGACAAGCAGUUUUUAAUUUUACAGUGGCAGGGACAAGCAGUGGCCAAUCUUAUAGAAGCAGGGACAAGCAGUAUUUACCUUACAGAAGCAGAAGCCAAUUGAACAGAAGCAGAGACAAGCAGUAGCCAACCUUACAGAAGCAGCAUCCAAUCUUAUAGAAGCAGAGCAUUAGAGUGUCCACCAUCACCAGUUUAACACUGGCCGAUUAGUCAUAAGAAGAGUCCAGACCAGAAAGAUCCACAGUGACAACUAUUCAUAUGUUUGGUAGGGGAGAGAAGAUGGAUUCCUAGACCUGCAGUGAAGAAGAGACCCCAUAAACUGAGUUCUACCUUGAAAGAUGGUCACAGAGGAGGGAGAUGGACAGAUGGCAGCCAGCAACACACCCAGGAGGAGACCAUUGCCAGGAUACAGGGUAUCCACCAUAACAACAGGCCAGUAUUGGCC